AAACAUGAAGAAACAUGGACUGGAGGAGAAAGCAAGGGGGAGGCUGGGGUGGGGGGAAUGUCCAACCAUCAGUCCAGGGGGUGAGAGUUUGAGUUGUUUUAUGUGCCUUUAUGUUUUUGUAAAAGGAACCGAAGAUUUUAUAUGUGGAUUUUUACAAAUAAAGAUGGAUUAUAAGAGGAUGCCCCCACAUGGUCUUAGGUGGAUGUUUUUCUCAAGGCAAAAACUGGUUCAGGGCAGUCUCCCUACCCUGGCUUAGGGUGUGGUGGUGAGUGCAAGGGUUAGUCUCUGGCUUCCUGUUUUUGUAAUAGGGAAGCAGAGCUGCUUGACCCACAGACAACAGUAUGUGUAAAAGCCCCAGUGCACCUUACUGUAGUUCAGUGCUUAAUGCUACCAACUGUUUGCCAGCACUUGCAUCUCACAGCCUAAAGUUCAGGAAGCUUCCUGGCCUCUGUGCAUCUGGGCUUCUUUGACCAAAUGGAGCAUUGAGUGAAGAGAAGAGCUGGCCUGCCUUAAGGGGCUCUUUGCUGGGUUCUGAGUGAGAACAGGCUUCCCCUGACUGGCACUUGGAUCUAAGCAGCCUUGUUCUCAAAAUCAACACUGAUUUUCCUGCUUGUUUAGCCAAGCAAGGGAUAGUGUUUCCUGGUGUCCUCUGUGCAUGGCACUUGCCCCUUCCUGAUCCUGGCUCGUGCCUCCUGUGGAAUGAGGAGAGGGGCUGAUCAUGGAUUCUGCAUCCUCCACUUUUGAGGAAGGUGUUGCUGUUGUCUGGGGUCUGAGCUGUCUCUGUGAGCUGAAGAAUGCUUUUUUGGCUACAGUUGAUCCUCAGGAGUUUCACCUCACCUGGACAUUUCACACCAGGCCGGGAGCAUUUCUUGCUGUGACUCACCAGUUUAGUUGCCAUCUUCUCAAAGAAGACUACUCUGAAGCCAAGUCUGGACAAGCAGUGACUCACAUUAAAGGAAAGAUUCACCCCACAGUGCUCUGACAUCCUUGCCUGGGGCAGGAUGUGCUUAUGAUGGCAACACCAUCUCCUUUAGCCUGGAAGAUUUUGCAUGAGAUGCCCAUGACUCACCACUCAGCAAAGGAGCCUGAAAUAGCAUCAGUGCCUGAGUGGAUGGACAUCAGAUGUCUGUGCCAGAAUCAUGCAUAUCCUUUGCUGGAGGUGGGGGCCUGGGGCAGAAGGA
rnacentral:lncRNA from 1 species